rnacentral:rRNA from 1 species
AUUGAACGCUGGCGGCAGGCCUAACACAUGCAAGUCGAACGAGUGGCGGACGGGUGAGUAAUGUCUGGGGAACUGCCCGAUGGAGGGGGAUAACUACUGGAAACGGUAGCUAAUACCGCAUACUAUCGGAUGUACCCAUAUGGGAUUAGCUAGUAGGUGGGGUAACGGCUCACCUAGGCGACGAUCCCUAGCUGGUCUGAGAGGAUGAUCAGCCACACUGGAACUGAGACACGGCCCAGACUCCUACGGGAGGCAGCAGUGGGGAAUAUUGCACAAUGGGCGCAAGCCUGAUGCAGCCAUGCCGCGUGUAUGAAGAAGGCCUUCGGGUUGUAAAGUACUUUCAGCGGGGAGGCGUUACUCGCAGAAGAAGCACCGGCUAACUCCGUGCCAGCAGCCGCGGUAAUAC